AACGAACGCUGGCGGCAUGCCUAACACAUGCAAGUCGAACGGGAUCCUAGCUUGCUAGGUGAGAGUGGCGGACGGGUGAGUAACACGUGGGAAUCUGCCUUUUGGUUCGGGAUAACCGCGGGAAACUGCGGCUAAUACCGAAUGCCCUCGAGAGAGGAAAGAUUUAUCGCCAGAAGAGGAGCCCGCGUCCGAUUAGGUAGUUGGUGGGGUAAAGGCCUACCAAGCCGACGAUCGGUAGCUGGUCUGAGAGGAUGAUCAGCCACACUGGGACUGAGAUACGGCCCAGACUCCUACGGGAGGCAGCAGUGGGGAAUAUUGGACAAUGGGGGCAACCCGUGAUCCAGCAAUGCCGCGUGAGUGAUG
rnacentral:rRNA from 1 species